AACGAACGCUGGCGGCAUGCCUAACACAUGCAAGUCGAACGAGACCUUCGGGUCUAGUGGCGCACGGGUGCGUAACGCGGGGGAACCUGCCCUUAGGUUCGGAAUAACUCCCCGAAAGGGGUGCUAAUACCGGAUAAUGUCUUCGGACCAAAGAUUUAUCGCCUUUGGAUGGGCCCGCGUUGGAUUAGCUAGUUGGUAGGGUAAAAGCCUACCAAGGCGACGAUCCAUAGCUGGUCUGAGAGGAUGAUCAGCCACACUGGGACUGAGACACGGCCCAGACUCCUACGGGAGGCAGCAGUGGGGAAUAUUGGACAGUGGGCGAAAGCCUGAUCCAGCUAUGCCGCGUGAGUGAUGAAGGCCUUAGGGUUGUAAAGCGCUUUUACCCGGGAUGAUAAUGACAGUACCGGGAGAAUAAGCUCCGGCUAACUCCGUG
rnacentral:rRNA from 1 species